AUGUGGUAUUUUCGUAGGGGAGUUGUGCUAACCAAAGACAAUCUUGCACGGCGCAACUGGCCAGGAAGUAAGAAGUGUUGCUUUUGUGCUCAUGACGAGACAAUCAAACACCUCUUUUUCCAAUGCAAGUUUGCACGGUCUACAUGGUCAGUCAUCCAAAUAGCGUCAAAUUUGUAUCCGCCAACGAGUAUUGCCAAUAUAUUUGGUCAUUGGUUGGACGGAAUUUCAAAUAGUUUCAAAACGCUAAUAAGGGUGGGGGCGUAUGCCUUACUAUGGUCGCUUUGGCUAUGUAGAAAUAAUUUGAUUUUUAAUGACAAAAAUGCUUCUCCUCUGCAGGUUAUUUUCCGUUGUACGCACUCGCUUCGUACGUGGUCUACGCUACAACAGGCGGAGCACCAACCGCGUUCAAGGCGGUGUGUACGCGGUUGGAGCAGGCGGCUAUGGAGGUUUUUUCCCAACAUGGGUGGCAGCAUAACCUCCGGAUCCAUCCACCGCCGAGUUCGACAUAGGCAAAGUGUCGGUCCAUAG
rnacentral:rRNA from 1 species